GAUGAACGCUGGCGGCGUGCUUAACACAUGCAAGUCGAACGGAAAGGCCCAAGCUUGCUUGGGUCCUCGAGUGGCGAACGGGUGAGUAACACGUGGGUGAUCUGCCCUGCACUUCGGGAUAAGCCUGGGAAACUGGGUCUAAUACCGGAUAGGACCACGUCUUGGAUGUUGUGGUGGAAAGUUUUUUCGGUGUGGGAUGAGCUCGCGGCCUAUCAGCUUGUUGGUGGGGUAAUGGCCUACCAAGGCGUCGACGGGUAGCCGGCCUGAGAGGGUGUACGGCCACAUGGGGACUGAGAUACGGCACAGACUCCUACGGGAGGCAGAAGGGGGGAAGAUUGCACAAUGGGCGCAAGCCUGAUGCAGCGACGCCGCGUGGGGGAUGACGGCCUUCGGGGUGUAAACUCCUGUCGCUAGGGACGAAGCGUUUUUGUGACGGUACCUGGAGAAGAAGCACCGGCUAACUACGUG
rnacentral:rRNA from 1 species